AAGACAUUAACAAUAUACGAUAGUCCCAUGUUAACAAAGAAUAAUGGAAGAGAGCAUAUCUUCACCAAAUCAAUCUCCAUUACUACUAUAGUGUUGUAAUGUGUAUUGGACACUUGUAAUGAACUGUAAGAUUCUCAUUGGACCCUCUGUUAUAAUGCCAACCUACUUUCAAUCUUCUUUAGUGUUAAAAUAAUCUCGUAAAGUAUAUAUAGAAAGUUUUAUCUGAUGUGAUUUUCACUUUCGCUGAUGCGUGACCCUUUACGUUUCUUUUACCCACAAUUUCAUUAAUGCUCAUCCUGCUUCAAACUUCAAACAAGCUUUUGAAAGUGAAGAAGAAGAAGAAAACAAUUAAACAAAAUAAUCAUCAUGGAUUAGAAACACGGACAUAUAUGAUUAUAUGAAUAUGAAAUCAAUAUGUUAUUAAGAACAAACAGAAUACAUAGUAAAUGAUCGGAUACAAUACAAUGCAAAACUCUCUUCCCUCUCUCUAUCUACACAUAUAUCAAUAUAAAUAUAAGAUGUAACGAAAACACACAAGCUCGCGAUGAAAUACCACCGAUAAUUUCAUAAUAAUUUAUGUAGUGUAGAGAAAAUAAUAAUAUAAAUAAUUAAUUCCUGACGAGAGCGAGGAGAGACAAGAUCAAGGAAGUUCCGACAACGGCAGUGGAGACGGGGAGAGAGAAUCCAGCUCCGACAUCAGGGGAGGGUGCGGGUGCCUCCUGUCCCGAGACCGCGACGGCGGCGAGGACGACGACGAGGAUGGCCUUCACGACGAAGCUGCUGACUUGAGCCAUUUUAUCAAAAAAUUGGAGAAUAAUUUUUGAGAGAGAAUUUGAGCUAGUAGUUAAGGAUGUUGAAGUGAGAAUUGAUAUUGAAAGAGUAGAGGAAAUGUGAGUAUUUAUAGAGGUAGAAAAUUGUGUAUUGUGCAUGUAAUUGUAAAAGGUUGCAAUUUGUGACAUGUUAUGAGUUGGUGCUUGUUUCUUACAAUGUGGGACUGGGUCCUACUUGUGCUGCCCACGUUGCGAUUCUUGACUGGAUCAAAAAUUGGUUUGGAAUUUUUUGUCAUAACUCCUCCUAAGCAGGAGGCUUUUAGCGUGUUGAUUGAGUUCUUAACUGGGAGUUAAGACUUCCUGCGUCUUGGGUUUCCACAGCGUUUACACUUUACCAUGUCUUGAAUUUUGUCCUAAUACGG
rnacentral:lncRNA from 1 species